AUGAACAAAAAUCAACAUCUAAAAUACCAAAUCUACAAUUACUUUUUUCGCGCUUCCACCACCUGGACCAUCGGGGAUGGACGGACCUGCCGCUUCUGGAUCAAUCAUUGGAUCAAUGGGUCAUCGGCCACGGAGAUUGCCCCCGCUCUCAUAGCACUUGUGCCGCGCCGGCGGCGGCGCCAAUGCCUCGUCUCCGAGGCCCUGCAAAACUCGCUCUGGAUUGAGGACAUCCAUGGUGCCAUGGGCGCCGCUGCUGCGAUCGAGUACGUCGAUCUGUGGCGACGGAUCCAAAGCAUUCACCCUUCUGCCGAGCCGGACAGAAUCUCUUGGAAAUGGACUAACAAUGGGAUCUACACAACAAGCUCUGCUUACAAAGCCUUGUUCCAUGGAUCGACCGCCAGCCCUUUCUGGCGUCUCAUCUGGCGAUCGUGGGCGCCUGACAACGCCAAGUUCUUUCUCUGGCUUGCCUCGAUGGAUCAUUGCUGGACGGCUGAGCGCCGCGCUCGCCACUGA
rnacentral:rRNA from 1 species